CCUACGGGAGGCAGCAGUGAGGAAUAUUGGUCAAUGGGCGAGAGCCUGAACCAGCCAAGUCGCGUGAGGGAGUACUGCCCUAUGGGUUGUAAACCUCUUUUGUCGGGGAGCAAAAGCCGGACGUGUCCGGCUGUGAGAGUACCCUAAGAAAAAGCAUCGGCUACCUCCGUGCCAGCAGCCGCGGUAAUACGGCGGAUGCGAGCGUUAUCCGGAUUUAUUGGGUUUAAAGGGUGCGCAGGCGGAUUUUUAAGUCAGCGGUAAAAUCGUGGGGCUCAACCCCAUCCAGCCGUUGAAACUGGGGAUCUAGAGUGUGCGAGAGGUAUGCGGAAUGCGUGGUGUAGCGGUGAAAUGCAGAGAUAGCACGCAGAACCCCGAUUGCGAAGGCAGCAUACCGGUGCACAACUGACGCUCAGGCACGAAAGCGUGGGUAUCGAACAGGAUUAGAUACCCGAGUAGUC
rnacentral:rRNA from 1 species